UGCUAUGACAGAAUGACAGAGGGCUAUC
rnacentral:piRNA from 1 species